CCUACGGGUGGCUGCAGUGGGGAAUAUUGCACAAUGGGCGCAAGCCUGAUGCAGCCAUGCCGCGUGUGUGAAGAAGGCCUUCGGGUUGUAAAGCACUUUCAGCGGGGAGGAAGGCGGUGAGGUUAAUAACCUCAUCGAUUGACGUUACCCGCAGAAGAAGCACCGGCUAACUCCGUGCCAGCAGCCGCGGUAAUACGGAGGGUGCAAGCGUUAAUCGGAAUUACUGGGCGUAAAGCGCACGCAGGCGGUCUGUCAAGUCGGAUGUGAAAUCCCCGGGCUCAACCUGGGAACUGCAUUCGAAAAUGGCAGGCUAGAGUCUUGUAGAGGGGGGUAGAAUUCCAGGUGUAGCGGUGAAAUGCGUAGAGAUCAGGAGGAAUACCGGUGGCGAAGGCGGCCCCCUGGACAAAGACUGACGCUCAGGUGCGAAAGCGUGGGGAGCAAACAGGAUUAGAUACCCGUGUAGUC
rnacentral:rRNA from 1 species